UCAAUUGUUUUUCACUUUUGCUCUAUAAUGCAUUAUUAAUUGCUAGGGGAGGCUAGGGAUAGCAAGCCAGUAAUUAGUAAUAGGCUCUUUUCGCCGAGGGAUCGGGUUAAGGGUAGGCCAAGAAAGUUGCAUAACAAUUAGUUAAUCAAGCAAAUAAAUCAAGAGGAGUAAAUAAGAGAGAGCGGAUAAGAUGAAAUUGUAAACCCCCAACAACUCCAUUCAUCCAUCGUUUUCUUCUCGUCAAUUGAAUCAAUCUCUUUUGCAUGUUUAUAUUUUGUUCUCAUACCCAAUUAAUUAAUUUUUAUUUUCAAGUCUUACGAUCUUAAUUCACACGAAUGAUAAGGCCUUUCGAGUCGCUUGGGAAAACGAUACUUGGAC
rnacentral:lncRNA from 1 species